GUUGCUCUACUUCAGGGUAGCUCUGGAGAGGCAGGUCUUCUUGGAACAAUAGGAUCUGCUGGUAAAACAGGAGAGCAAGGCAAAGCAGGAGGUCUAGGACCCGUUGGACCCAUUGGUGGACCGGGAGACAUCGGAGUACAAGGACCAGCCGGCCCACCGGGCAAACCAGGGGCCAGGGGACCUAAAGGAGAUCUUGGUCUUCCUGGUGUUCCCGGACCCC